GAAACCUGCAAAGCAGAACGACCCGUGAACUAAUACUAACUCGGGGGUGAGGGGAAGGUCGCUCUCUUGUGCCCCACCCUUUCCCCCUAGCCUUGUAGUGCCCCAUGCCGCACCGAACUUGUUUCGGCGUUGGUGUAGGGAUGCUCCAUGGCGACAUAACGAACCCCGGCGCGGCAUGCGCCAAGGAAAUCAUAACGAACUUAGCACACCUGUAGCCGACUCGUGCGGCAGCGGUGUUGCAAAUUUCGAUACCUAAACGACUCUCGGCAACGGAUAUCUCGGCUCUCGCAUCGAUGAAGAACGUAGCGAAAUGCGAUACUUGGUGUGAAUUGCAGAAUCCCGUGAACCAUCGAGUUUUUGAACGCAAGUUGCGCCCGAAGCCACUCGGCUAAGGGCACGUCUGCCUGGGCGUCACGUAUUGCGUUGCUCCACAAUGCCUUCCUCCCCAAGGGCAAGGUGCUGCGGAUGCAGAUAUUGGCCUCCCGUGCCUGACACGGCUGGCCUAAAUGCAAGCCUCGGGGUGACGAAAGGGUCACGACAAGCGGUGGUUGAUCAUAUCUCGGCCCUUGUUGCGUUGUGAUCCAGCGUGCCCCAACGAGCUAAGUAUCCCUGAUGCGUCGUCUUGACGGCGUUUGCUUCGCGACC
rnacentral:rRNA from 1 species